GGUUUAGUCAAUUGAAAGACAGUCUUUGAUCGGCUUAGUCAUUGGAGAUAAAAAUGAUCUUUGAUCAGCUUAGUCAUUGAAGAUAAAGAUGGACUUUGAUCGACUUAGUCAAUUGAAAGACAGUUUUUGAUCGGCUUAAUUAUUGAAGACAAAGACCGUCUUUGAUCGGUCCAGCAAGCAACGGCCUUUGAUUGGCCCAGUAAGGAACGGUCUGUGAUUGGCCUAGCGAGGAAUGGCCUUUGAUCGGCUCAGCGAGGAAUGACCAUUGAUCGGCCCAACUAAAGGAGCUUUUGAUCGGCUCGGAGCCCUCAAAUUCUACAGUCUGAGCUAAAGGUUAAGAAUGCUCGAACUACUUCAACAUGAAAUCAAAGGAAUCUAGGUUCAAGCGAUAUGAAAGGACACAUCUUCGGUAAGUUCGAUCUAGUAUAUUCCCUUCAUCUGAUCUAAGGCUCGAACUCGGGAGUAGGGAGGCUAGUGUUGAGGGUAUUUUUGUACUAGCCGAAGACGUGAGAUGAUGGUCUUCAGCCCAUGCCUUGACUUCUGCACCACUUCGAAAAUCAUUAUGCUUCAGCCAACAAAGUUCAUCCUAGCUGACUUCCGCUCC
rnacentral:lncRNA from 1 species